AUUCAAGAUGGACGGCAGGGAGUGUGGAAGGAGAAAGGGGGCGAGGGGGGAAGAGCGAGAUCGGCAGAGGAGAGGGUCUCCGCGGCCCACCGGCCUCGCAACCUCGGUCCCGGCCGGCGGGUGGCGGGGCGGCCGCUGGGGAUCCAAGCCCGGCCCGGGAGAGGGGCUGGCGGGGUGCGAGAGGGCGUGAGCGAGGGGGAGCGAGGCCAGGGAGGGGAGCCAAGAGGGAGGGAAGGGCAGAGAAAGAGCCCGGGAAGAAGGAGGUGGCAGGCAGAGGAUCCUAACGAAGAGCAAUGUGUAGGUAUCGAGAGCUUCCCGAAGGGUAACGACACCGAUUUUCGGUUUUAUUCUCUCUUGGGGAAGGGAGGGGGACGGUCUGGGCUCUUUCUCUCGUCUUCCUUUUUCCCUCCUCAUUCUCCACUCGUGGGCAUCUUUUCUAUUUUUUCCUUUGGAAACACUGUAACUGGGAAGCACCAGGCGUGUCUUUCUGAGGUGGCCUCACUGUCAUUUUCCAGUGGGGGGCGUGGUGGGGUAGGGAUGGGGGGCUCCGCUGGGCACGGCCGAGCUGGGCCAUCUGUCUCCACCUGGGUUGUGUGCGAGGGCGUGGAGUGUUCCGAGGGGGACCGGGGGCCGAAGGGCUGGAGCAGGGCAGGGAGUUCUGCACCUCCAGAAGUUGUAGGGUGAGCCAGGGGCGGUGUGGGGGUGUGAGGCUGGUUUUCGAGCUGAUAGUUGUGGGGUGUUGAGGGGUGCGGGGAUGUGUGUGUGUGGGGGGCGUGCGCUCACACUCCAGUUCUUGUUGUUUGGGUGUGUAAUGAGGGCUGAGUUGUGCAGCAAGUAUGGCUGAGAGUUUGUGUGUGUGUGUGUGUGUGUGUGUGGUGUGUACGUGCGCCUGUGUGGUCCAGCCUCGAGGUGUGUGUGUUCGGGGGGAGCACAGUUGGGUGUUGAAGGAGAGCGCCCCUCACCCCCCACUUCCCAGCUGCCUCUCUCAUCCCAUUCACAGAACAUGGCUUUCAGGACCCUCCUGGUCUCCUCCUCCCGUCGCCAUGGCUGCGAGGAGGGGGUGGGAGGAGACAGUUGGGGCCAGCCCCCUGCCCCUGCUGCUCCAGCUAACCCCCCACCUGCCCUUUCUCUCCCUUUCACAGGCUGGGCCCCAUCCCCUGCUGCUCUGGGGGCAGGGGCCGGAAGAUGGUGGCCAAUGAGGAGGGGGAGAGGAGAGAACUUGAGCCGGGGCCUCCCCUCCCCCAUUUCCUCCUCGGUCUCUACACUCGCUUCUGGAAGGAGCUGGGGGCUGGCUCCUGGGCCCAAGGUGGGGGAGGGGUCCUGCUGGCUGGUGAGUCGCUGGGCCUGCUCCUCAGGAAUGAGUUGGGUGUGUGAGAGCUGAGGGGCUCUUGGCCCUUUCUCCCUGCACUCCCUAAGGAGAGACCUGGAAACUUCUUGGGGAAGAAUCUUCCCCUGGCCUCCCUGAAGCUUGCUGUGCAGCCUUAUCUUUGCCCCUCUGCCCCCUGUUGGUGUGAUCCAGUUCCCAGCUGGGCCUGGUUUGCCCAACCCCAGAGCAGAGAGGUCACUGACCCUCGAGGGGUCUUGGUUUCCGCCCAUUAAAACUGUAGGGCAGGGCCCCAUGUUUGCAGAUUACGGGAACAAACUCUGCCGGGGAGAGCGGGAGGGAACGUCUCCUGCUUCCUGAGGGGGUGGGACGAGGCUAGAGGGAAGCCCAGAGGAAGAGCUCCCAACUGGAAUUCUGUCCUCUAUUCCUUACGGUGGCUGUGGAUUAGGGAAGAAGGCAUCUCCCCUUCGUUGAUCGGGGCACUGGAGGAAUCACCCUCCAGCCUCUGUUUCUCUGGGCUGCCCAAAGUUCACUGGGUCAGAACUGGAGCUGGGCUCCGGGGCUGUGGCCCUAGCUGGAAUGUGCCACAAUAGAGCCUGCCUGGGUCUGAGCCUCCAGAUAUCCAGGUGUCCUUCCAGGGCAGCUUUCUGGCUUUGGGUGUUAAUCUUCCGGGGACUGUUUGUCCUGUAUUUAAGCCCCCUUAGGGUUGGAUAGGAUGGGGAAGUGCUAGGAUGAGCUUGAAGACUCCCCAACCAAGGGUCCCUGGAUAAGACAGGAAAUAACUCAGAUGUGAAUCCCACUGCCAGUGAAAGCCUAUCCCUAACUCUCAGUAACUGUGAGCGAAUCACCCUCACCAUUUUAAUGCUGAAUCUGCAAAGUGCUUUCAGGACCUCCAAAAGGAGAUGCAGGGGUGGGGCUUCACCAGCAGCUUUCACCUCCCCGCCUGGAAGCUUCUCUCUACUGCGUGGGGAGCUGUGACUACAGGCUCCCACCUCUCUGGUCCUGGAAGGUCAUCUGAGAGUGUUGCCUUGAGGCCUAGAGCUCUGCUUUAUCUAAAUUUAAAAGGAGAUGGAAACUUAGAGAAGAGUAGAGGGUUCUGUAGUCUUGGGCAGCAAGCUCCUCUCUAGAAGGUAAGCUAGCGGAAAUGCAAAUCCAGAUGAACACAGCCUCAUACGAGUGACCUCCAGACUUUGGGGAUUGCUAAUAGCCGUUUUCUUUGAGGACUGAGCAUCAAGCCCGAAGUAUCCCUGCAGCUGCUUUAGUGGGUCCUGUCCUCCCAUGCCAAAACCUCCAAGAAAAAGGUGGUCUCUGUGCUGGGGGUCAGGGGGUUGGUGAAGAAGGCGGCAAAAGGAAGAGUGGUGAAAAAAUAGAAUGAACACUAAGAAUGGAAUAAAAGGGAAAAAAGCUGUAUUGAAGCAAAGAAGGGGCAGAGGGAGCCCGUGAGCUGAGUGGGCCAGGGACUGGGAGAAGGAGUGAGGAGGCAGGGCCGGCAUGCCUCUGCUGCUGGCCAGAGCUCUUUUCACAUUGUGCUACUGUCUGCACCUGUCACUAGCAGUGCAAUGUUAAAAGGGCAUUGGCCGUGUAGUGCUACCCAGCGCUGGCUGCCUCCUCAGCAUUGCAAUUCCUCUCCCAUCUGGGCACCAGUCAGCUACCCUGGUGGGAAUCUGGGUAGCCUCACUUGUUAGUUAUACUAAUAGCUCUCAUUUAUGGAACUACUUCUGUAUGCAGUGCUUGUGAUAGACACUGCCUCCGUUACUGUGAAACCUAAUAACUUCUGGGAGGUAACAGCCCCAUUUUAUGGAUGAAAAACUGAGGGUCAGAAAGGUUUAAACAGUUUGGCUAAGAUUGUGUAGCUCUUAGGUUGCAAAGCCUAGAUACAACCCUGUGUUAAGUCUUGACAGCUCACUCAUCUUUUUGUAGACCCAUCUGGAGAGAUCUGAAUAGGUUCUUCAAACUGGGAGAUUUCCUGAGCUGAGGGGUGGAAGGUUUUGAUGCCAUCUGCUGGUUGUAUGAGGAUAUCUUCCAAAGCCUCAAACCUUUAAGGACCAGAAGUGGUGGCAACUCCUUAGGCUAAGAAGGAUAAGCAUUCCCAGACUCAGCCCGGAAUGGAGAGUGAGUGGAAAAAGAUUAGGAGAAUCACUAUUAGGUACAGAGUAGGCCUCCUUGAGAAAAAAAGGAAUGCACCAGAAAGGAAAGGGGGUUAACUCGAGAGGAUUGCUCCCCAAAGAAAAGGACCUGUGUGCUGCUGGCAUCCCAUACCUACAGCUCCUUCCCUGGCUCAUGAGGCAUGGAAAGACCUCACUCCUUCCCUGAAUCCACUUACCUUUCUCAGCACCACUCCCUCUUGGUCACGGGGUGUUUGAUGGACAGGUUGCCUCAAGUUGCUUUUUCCCUUUUUAUUAAAAAUAGACUCAAGCACUUUAUGUAUCAUACAAAAGUUUCAUUCGCUGGUGGCAGCCACGGGAAAGACUGGCCCCGUAGCACUGAUUUUCCACCUCCCCUCCAGGGGACUGGGUCCCAGGAGCAGUGACUGGGCCUCAGAGAAAGCCCAUAAAGACUGCUUACUCUGGAAGCAGCCGACUAGGGGCUGUUCCGCGAGCAGCUGUCCCCACCCCACCCAAUGGCAAAAGUUAGAUACUCGAAAGUGCCUCUUCAGUGCCAAGAUAAACUAACAAGUGGAGUGAAAUGGAAAACCCUUUGAUUAUUUUACUAUUUCCCAGGGCCUGGGAUUUGAGUUUUCCCUGCACUCAAGUCCUUUUCCCUACAAAUAGGGGUAGGAAACUUCAUCCUCAGAGACUCUGGUCUCCUGGUGUCUGAGACCAGAAUUUCACUCCAACCCAAGUCUUUUCUCAUCUGCUGUUCUGUGGUCCAUGAUCUACUUGCCCUGUGACCCAAGCUCUCACAGAAAAUGUCAGCUACCGAGUGGAGCCCCGUGAGCAAGAGGCGCUGUUCAGCUGGCCCGCAACCCACGUUGACCCUGUCUCAGGAAACAGGAAGGACCCAGCACCCAGUGGGGUUGCACUGUCAGUCCAGUCCCCAGACAGCCCAAGGGAACUUCCAUCUGGAGAGAACUGGACAGCCCCUGCCUUUGAUAAUCCACCCCUUUAAGACUAGAGCCUGGGCCUUCUUUUUCCACCGUUAUGAUUUCAAUUCUCCCCCGGCUCCCCAUGUGAGAACUUCAGAUUGAGACCCUCUUUGCAAAAGGGGAGGCAAAGACUGAAGGCACAAGAUCACCUGAUGGAUUCCCCCCUUUCUCCACAGAGGAAAAUUACUCACUCACACACAAGCACAAGCACACGCACAAGGAAAGAGGUAGACUCACACGGAGUUAAACAGGUAGGCUCGGCCAUGGCUCCCUUGGAAGGACUGUGGAGACAUAGGACAGACAAUGACUACCAAGCAGCCUUCAGCCCCACUGCCUGAAUCCCCGCAGGGGUGUGUAGGAGAGAGGAAGAGCUUUGCUGCCUCACCCCUGGGUGAUGUUCAGGCUAGCCUGGUGCGCGAGAGGAGGGGAAUGGCAGGUCCCCGCUUCGCGUACCUUGGAAAUAAGCUCAUCGUGUUUGGCCAGGUGUGCACGGCAGUGGACACAGCUGGGCAGGGACAAACAGCAGUGACUCUGUGGGUGACUGAAGAUGAAGUAAUUGCUGGGUUCUGAUUAGGAAUAGAGGAAGAUUGCCUUCUGCCCACGCGCCAGCCUCCGAGUGGCUGAAGGUGCUGGAGGCAGAGGAUAAGAAGGGAGGUGGCCCCUGUUGGCUCCGAUAAGCAGCUUGGACACCAGCCCUGAAGCAGGGAAAAGACAGAUGUACUAAUUGUCAUGGAUGGCAAACUGUGCCCCCAAACUUGUACCAAGCCUCAAAGCCUUGGUUUAAUACUCCUGAAGGAGUAAUAGACCCAAUGUGACAUUUUGCAUGCAGGAACCCCUUAACAGCUACCUCCAUAUUAUGCGUGCUUCAUGAAUGGAGACACCUACGUUAUAUGAAGUUCUCUAUUGGGCUGUAAACUUCCUGAGACAGGCCUUCUGGGAAAUUACUCUCUACAUCCCAGGACUGCAAUGUCCAGUGCAGACCCGUGCAUUUAGAUGUUUCCAAAAUAGCAGUUGUUUCCGCGGCAUUAUGUUCUGCUGGCCUAGAGGUCUUAGUUCCAGAGGGAGGAAUGCUGCCACCAAGAGACACAACAAUGAUUCCAUUAAACUGGAAGUUAAGAUUGCCACCUGGCCACUUUGGGCUCUUCUUACUUUUAAGCCAACUUGCUAAGAAGGGAGUUACAGUGUUUGACCCAGACUAUCAAGAUGAAAUCAGUCUACUACUCCACAAUGGCGGUAAGGAAGUAUGCGUGGAAUACAGGAGAUCACGUAGGGCGUCUCUUAAUAUUACCAUGCCCUGUGAUUAAGGUCAAUGGGAAACUGCAACAGCCCAAUCCAGGCAGGAUGACAAAUGGCCCAGACCCUUCAGGAAUGAAGGUUUGGGUCACUCCACCAGGUAAAAAAAACAUAAUCUGCUGAGGUGCUUGCUGAAGGCAAACGGAAUUCAGAAUGGGUAGUCAAAGAAGGUAGUCAUCAAUACGAACUAUGACCAUGUGACCAGCUGCAGAAAAUGAGGACUGUAAUUGUCAUGAGUAUUUCCUCCUCCUUUUGUUAGGAACAUGUUUGUGCAUAUAUACACUUGUAUUAAGAAAAUAUCUUCAUUUUAUUUCCUUUCUUUUGCCUUUAUCAUGUGACAUAAGACUUACUGACUUGAUAUCAGCACUUAAGUGUUGUUAACUCUAUGUAAUAGCAUUUGGGUUGGGGAUUGGUGCGUUUCCGGUUGUACAAAGGAUAGCUGUAUUAUGUUAAGCGUAAUUAUGACCUUAUUAUUGUCUUUAUUUGAAGAUCAUGUAUGAUUUCAGGAGACGUGUAUGGGUUCAAGUUGACAAGGGGUGGACUGGUGAUGGUUAAUAUUGUCAACUAGAUUGGAUUGAAAGAUGCAAAGUAUUGUUCCUGGGUGUGUCUGUGAGGGUAUUGCCAAAGGCGAUUAACAUUUGAGUCAAUGGACUAGGAAAGGCAGACCCACCUCAAUCUGGAUGGGCACAAUGUAAUCAACUGUCAGCUAGGCCAGAAUAAAAGCAGACAGAAGAACGUGGAAAGACCAGACUGGUUUAGCCUCUGAGCCUACGUCUUUCUCCCAUGCUGGACGCUUCCUGCCCUCGAAUAUUGAACUCCAAGGUCUUCAACUUUGGGAUUCGGACUGGCUUCCUUGCCCCUCAGCUUGCAGGCAGCCUACUGUGGGACCUCAUCUGGUGAUCAUCUGAGUCAAUAUUCCGUAAUAACUCUGAUUUAUAUAUACAUCUAUCCUAUUAGUUCUAUCCCGCUAGAGAACUCUGAUUAAUAGAGCAGUUGAGUUGCAUCUUCAGACAUGAACCAAGUGUCUGGCUUUGGUCUCAAAGAGACUGAAUUAGACUCUUAGCUCUGCCAAUUACUUGGCAGGAACCACUAGGCAAAUUACUGAUAAUCUUUGUGCCUUAGUCUUACUCUUCUGCUAAAUGAAGCUAAUAAUAUUUAUUAUUAUUAGCUCAUGGAGAUGCAGAAUAAAGUGAGAUAACAUUUAAAUGCCUGAAAAAUGCCUGGCACAUGAUAGGCAGUAAACAGUAGUGUCAUUUCAAAACAACAUUCUCGCCAGGUGCGGUGGUUCACGCCUGUAAUCCCAGCACUUUGGGAGGCCGAGGCAGGCAGAUCACAAGGUCAGGAGAUCGAGACCAUCCUGGCCAACAUGGUGAAAUCCCCAUCCCUAAUAAAUAACAAAAAUUAGCUGGACAUGGUGGCACGUGCCUGUAAUCCCAGCUACUCGAGAGCCUGAGGCAGGAGAAUCGCUUGAACAGGAAGUCAGAGGUUGCGGUAAGCUGAGAUGGCGCCACUGUACUCACAGAGGUUGCAGUGAGCCGAUCGCGCCAGCCUGGUGACAGAGCGAGACUCUGUUUCAAAAAAAAAAAAAGCAUUCUUGGCUGGGUGAGGUGGCUCACACCUUGUAAUCCCAGCACUUUGGGAGGCCGAGGUAGGCGAAUCACCUGAGGUUGGGAGUUCGAGACCAGCCUGGACAACGUGGUGAAACCCCCCUCUCUACUAAAAAUACAAAAAAUUAGCCAGGUGUGAUGGCGUAUGCCUGUAAUCACAGCUACUUGGGAGGCUGAGGCAGAAGAAUCGCUUGAACCCAGGAGGCGGAGGUUGCAGUGAGCCAAGAUGGGACCACUGCACUCUAGCCUGGGCAACAAAGAGAGACUCCGUCUCAAAAAAAAAAACAAAACCAAAAAAACAAAAGUGAAACCAAAACAGCAUUCUCAAUGUAUGACCCCCAAAACCCAGGGAGGAUUUAUUAUUAAAUUCUGAUAUCUCAAGAGACACAUGCCAAAUUUUUGUCUUAUGAAGACAUUACAUCUUUUGUUGCUAUUUUUCUAGCAGCUUCCAGUUAAAUUUCAUUUGACUCAGAAUUCAUUUCUCAUGGGGUGCUGUCCUGUGCAUGUUACUAAAGUAUGUGAACACAGAACAUAUCCCCUAAGACAAAAACCCUGAUUUCUAACAGAGUCUAGCAUUUAGCAAAUGAAGUACGACAAAGAUAGGGACUUCUAGAAAGCAGUGCUUGGGGGUGGUUUGUUUUUCUUCUCACACGUAAAGAGGGAAAAAAAAGUUAAGGCAGAGAAAUGUGGGUAAUGGGAGACAUUGCUAGUUGAGCAUGAAAAUAAAAAGGGAUUCUAAAUAUUUAAUCAGGGAAGAUUCUGGGGUUUAAAGUAAAUUCUGAAAAGACAAUGUGGGUGUCUUGAGGGAUAGUACUAGAGAUUUGGAAUUGAGAGAAAAAGCUAGGUAAAGAAAGAAGAGAGAAGUGCUUUUGUUUGGGCAGCAGAAGAGAGGGGAGAUAAAAGUAGAACACAUGGACACAGGAAGGGGAACAUCACGCACUGGGGCCUGUUGAGGGGUGGGGGGAGGGGAGAGGGAUAGCAUUAGGAGAUAUACCUAAUGCUAAAUGACGAGUUAAUGGGUGCAGUACACCAAUAUGGCACAUGUAUACAUAUGUAACAAACCUGCACGUUGUGCACCACAUGUACCCUAAAA
rnacentral:lncRNA from 1 species